UGAUCUUGAAUCUUCGUCUUCGGACUUGAAUUUGAAUGUUAAUUCGUCACAAACACUUGGAUGGUUGCCACGAAUGAUGAAUAUGAACAAGUAACUUGAUCUUGAAAAAAAAUUCCGUCGUUCUUAAUCUUAAGCUUGAUUGUUUGAAACUUAUAACUUAUAGAGAAAUUAUGGGUUUUGAUCCAUGAGCUCUCUUCAUGCUCCUUGUUUCUCC
rnacentral:lncRNA from 1 species